CAAGUCUGAUGGAGCAACGCCGCGUGAGUGAAGAAGGUUUUCGGAUCGUAAAGCUCUGUUGUUGGUGAAGAAGGAUAGAGGUAGUAACUGGCCUUUAUUUGACGGUAAUCAACCAGAAAGUCACGGCUAACUACGUGCCAGCAGCCGCGGUAAUACGUAGGUGGCAAGCGUUGUCCGGAUUUAUUGGGCGUAAAGCGAGCGCAGGCGGAAAAAUAAGUCUAAUGUGAAAGCCCUCGGCUUAACCGAGGAAUUGCAUCGGAAACUGUUUUUCUUGAGUGCAGAAGAGGAGAGUGGAACUCCAUGUGUAGCGGUGGAAUGCGUAGAUAUAUGGAAGAACACCAGUGGCGAAGGCGGCUCUCUGGUCUGCAACUGACGCUGAGGCUCGAAAGCAUGGGUAGCGAACAGGAUUAGAUACCCUGGUAGUCCAUGCCGUAAACGAUGAGUGCUAAGUGUUGGGAGGUUUCCGCCUCUCAGUGCUGCAGCUAACGCAUUAAGCACUCCGCCUGGGGAGUACGACCGCAAGGUUGAAACUCAAAGGAAUUGACGGGGGCCCCACAAGCGGUGGAGCAUGUGGUUUAAUU
rnacentral:rRNA from 1 species